CUACACAUGCAGUCGAGCGGCAGCAGGCCCUUCGGGGCGCUGGCGAGCGGCGGACGGGUGAGUAACACGUGGGAAUCUGCCCAUCGGUGGGGGACAGCCCGAGGAAACUCGGAUUAAUACCGCAUACGCCCUACGGGGCAAAGUGGACCUCUGAUUCAAGUUCAUGCCGAUGGAUGAGCCCGCGGCCGAUUAGCUAGUUGGUGGGGUAAAGGCCUACCAAGGCGACGAUCGGUAGCUGGUCUGAGAGGACGAUCAGCCACACCGGAACUGAGACACGGUCCGGACUCCUACGGGAGGCAGCAGUGGGGAAUAUUGGACAAUGGGCGAAAGCCUGAUCCAGCAAUGCCGCGUGGGUGAAGAAGGCUUGCGGGUUGUAAAGCCCUUUCAGCAGGGAGGAAAAGCGUUCGGUUAAUACCCGAAUGUAUUGACGUUACCUGCAGAAGAAGCACCGGCUAACUCCGUGCCAG
rnacentral:rRNA from 1 species